rnacentral:rRNA from 1 species
CGGACGGGUGAGUAAUGUCUGGGAAACUGCCUGAUGGAGGGGGAUAACUACUGGAAACGGUAGCUAAUACCGCAUAACGUCGCAAGACCAAAGAGGGGGACCUUCGGGCCUCUUGCCAUCGGAUGUGCCCAGAUGGGAUUAGCUAGUAGGUGGGGUAACGGCUCACCUAGACGACGAUCCCUAGCUGGUCUGAGAGGAUGACCAGCCACACUGGAACUGAGACACGGUCCAG